rnacentral:rRNA from 1 species
UACGUAGGGUGCGAGCGUUGUCCGGAAUUAUUGGGCGUAAAGAGCCCGUAGGCGGUUCGUCGCGUCGAUUGUGAAAACCCGGGGCUCAACUCCGGGCUUGCACUCGAUACGGGCGGACUAGAGUUCGGUAGGGGAGACGUGGAAUUCCUGGUGUAGCGGUGAAAUGCGCAGAUAUCAGGAGGAACACCGGUGGCGAAGGCGGGUCUCUGGGCCGAUACUGACGCUAAGGAGCGAAAGCGUGGGGAGCGAACAGG